rnacentral:rRNA from 1 species
AGAGUUUGAUCAUGGCUCAGGGUGAACGCUAGCUACAGGCUUAACACAUGCAAGUCGAGGGGCAGCAUGUUGGUUGCUUGCAACCAAUGAUGGCGACCGGCGCACGGGUGAGUAACGCGUAUCCAACCUACCCUUGUCCAUCGGAUAACCCGUCGAAAGGCGGCCUAACACGAUAUGCGGUUCUCAGCAGGCAUCUAACGAGAACGAAAUGUGAAGGAGAAGGAUGGGGAUGCGUCUGAUUAGCUUGUUGGCGGGGUAACGGCCACAAGGCGACGAUCAGUAGGGGUUCUGAGAGGAAGGUCCCCCANAUUGGAACUGAGACACGGUCCCAAACUCCGUACGGGAGGCA